GAAUCGUCCCAUGUAGUUCAUAAUUAGGGCCUUAUAAUCGUUUAAAAGCAAUUUGAUUUCCAAAAAUAUCUUAAAAAGUGGUACCGACCGGACAUGUCGGGUUUAUCACGGCUAAUAAUGCCACUUACAAAUUUUAGAUUACUAUUUCAAUUUUAUAAAUGGCAAAAUUAUCGUUUACUUUCACCGUCCGCUAUUUUAAAAAAGCUUGUUUUCAAAUGCAGUUCGAGUAAAACAGAUGUGUUUUGUGAGUGCAACGGCCGUUGAAAUUUCUACUGUCUGGUUUGAGACAUAUUAUUACUUGAUACAGGUAUCACUAAUCUCGGGACCAAAAAGGACAUGUAUAAUUUCCAAAAAAUGGUAUUGCCACAUUGCAAUGAAUGCGUUGGUCAGCAGGUGGUCAGCAGGUAUACCCUGAAUACAUAAUAAUAUGUGAUACAUGUAUGGAAAGUUAAAAGAUUGGAAAACAUUCUAAGUUCCACAAAGCUCCAAAAACAUGGUUAUUUUUCAGUUGCAACUGAUCUCUAUUAAAUUUAUGAGGAACGGUAAACGGUUCCUAAAUUGUGAUAAGGUUCCAGUUAAUAUAAUGUUCGUAACUUUUUACAUCGUUUUUUUAUUCGUAUUACUUCGUGUCCUAAGAAGUAGUAUUUACCUUAACGGUAUCUUAUUAUUUAUUUAGACUUAUUGGGUUAACAGUACUUCUAAAGACAUCCGUAUAACCGGCUAAAGAUAUUAUAUCCUAUUUAUAUUUUGCGAAACUCGCCAUAACUCUGAGUUUUGCCCUAAAAUUGAUACUGUGUCAAACUGUGUGUUGAUGUACUUUUUUUAUGAGACUAAAAUAAAAUUUUUGUAAACGUA